rnacentral:tRNA from 1 species
CGCGGAGUGGAGCAGCUGGUAGCUCGCCAGGCUCAUAACCUGGAGGUCGCGCGUUCGAGUCGAGCCUCCGCAA